UCGGAUAUGGUGUAACGGCUAACAUUGCCGCCUCUCAUAGUGUGCACGUGCAUAUAUCGCGGCAGCUCGGGGUUCGAUUCCCCGUAUCCGAA